UCAAGCGUAAAAGGGCAUUCAGGGGAUGCCUUGGCGCCAGGAGUCGAUGAAGGACGUAGUUGGUUGCGAUAAGCGACGGUUAGCCGCCAACAGGCUUUAACCCGUCGAUUUCCGAAUCGGAAAACCGGUCGUGUGGAAACGCACGUCAUCAUACGCUGAAUUCAUAGGCGUGUGAGGGUAACCAGGAGAAUUGAAACAUCUUAGUAUCCUGAGGAAAAGAAAGCAGAGCGAUUCCCUUAGUAGCGGCGAGCGAAAAGGGAACAGUCUAAACCGAAUGUGUGUCAAGCUCACAGGCGUUGCUCAUUCGGUGUUGUGGGAUUUAUCCGGACCGGGCUGUGGACAGGUCGGAGAGUUAUAAAAGUAUUAUCUAGCCGAAGGACCUGGGAAGGUCCGCCGUAGAGGGUGAGAGCCCCGUAGGCGAAAGGUUUUGCUCUCUCUGGGAUAAAUUCCCAAGUAGCGCGGGGCACGUGAAACCUUGCGUGAAUCUGGGUGGACCAUCAUCCAAGACUAAAUACUCCCUGGCGACCGAUAGUGAACCAGUACCGUGAGGGAAAGGUGAAAAGAACCCCUGUUAGGGGAGUUCAAAGAACCUGAAACUGGAUGCCUACAAUCAGUGGGAGCCCUAUGUUUUCGGACACGGGUGACCGCUUACCUUUUGCAUAAUGAGCCGGCGAGUUAUGGUGUGUUGCAAGGUUAAGCCUUUUGGUGUAGCCGAAGCGAAAGCGAGUCUUAAUUGGGCGAUUUAGUUGCACGCUGUAGACCCGAAGCUGAGUGAUCUAUCCAUGGCCAGGAUAAAGCGGGGGUAACACCUCGUGGAGGUCCGAACCAGUAUACGUUGAAAAGUAUUUGGAUGAGCUGUGGAUAGGGGUGAAAGGCCAACCAAACUCAGCAAUAGCUGGUUCUCCCCGAAAUAUAUUUAGGUAUAGCCUUAUGUAAUAAUCAGUGGCCGUAGGGCGCUGGAUGGACUAGGGGCCUCACCAGGCUACCAAACCCAACCAAUCUUCGAAGACCAUUGAUCGUAUCAUGGGAGUCAGACUGUGGGUGAUAAGGUCCAUAGUCGAAAGGGAAACAGCCCAGAUCGCCAGCUAAGGUCCCUAAGUGCAGACUAAGUGGAGAAGGUUGUAGAAAUGCAUAGACAGCCAGGAGGUUGGCUUAGAGGCAGCCAUCCUUUAAAGAUAGCGUAAUAGCUCACUGGUCAAGUGCAUCUGCGCCGAAAAUUCAACGGGGCUAAAGUCUGUCACCGAAGCUGCGGAUUUGCAGGAUUUCCUGCGAGUGGUAGGGGAGCGUUCCAUGUGGGAUGAAGGUCGACUGUAAGGACGGCUGGACUUCAUGGAAGUGAGCAUGUCGGCAUGAGUAACGAUAAAACGGGUGAGAAACCCGUUCGCCGAAAACCCAAGGGUUCCUGAGGAAGGGUAAUCCGCUCAGGGUUAGUCGGUCCCUAAGGCGAGGUCGAAAGGCGUAGCUAAUGGGAAACAGGUUAAUAUUCCUGUACUAUCUGUAUGGCGUUAUCACGAUGGGGUGACGCGGCAGGGUAGGUCAGCCAGGCGAUGGUCGUCCUGGUUUAAGCGCGUAGGAGGGUUUCCCAGGCAAAUCCGGGAAGCUAUUAACUCCGAGACGUUAUGAGGCCCUUAGCCUACGGGCAAGGGGUAACUGAUUUAUCCCAUACCGCCGAGAAAAACCUCUAAGGAGUCAUGCGGGUAACCGUACCCUAAACCGACACAGGUGGGUGAGGAGAGAAUCCUAAGGCGCUUGAGAUAACUCUGGUUAAGGAACUCGGCAAAAUAGCUCCGUAACUUCGGGAGAAGGAGUGCCCUCAUUACGUGAAAUCCUUCGCGGGUGGAGCGGAAGAGGGUUGCAGUGAAAUGGUAGCCGCGACUGUUUACUAAAAACACAGGUCUCUGCUAAGUCGUAAGACGAUGUAUAGGGACUGACGCCUGCCCGGUGCCGGAAGUUUAAAAGGAGAGGUUAGCUUUCGAGCGAAGCUUUGAAUUGAAGCCCCGGCAAACGGCGGCCGUAACUAUAACGGUCCUAAGGUAGCGAAAUUCCUUGUCGGGUAAGUUCCGACCUGCACGAAUGGCGUAACGAUGGCUACACUGUCUCAACCAGGGACUCAGUGAAAU
rnacentral:rRNA from 1 species